rnacentral:rRNA from 1 species
GACGGAGGGUGCAAGCGUUGCUCGGAAUCACUGGGCGUAAAGGGCGCGUAGGCGGUCAGCACAAGUCAGUUGUGAAAUCUCCGGGCUUAACUCGGAAAGGUCAACUGAUACUGUGCGACUAGAGUGCGGAAGGGGCAACUGGAAUUCUCGGUGUAGCGGUGAAAUGCGUAGAUAUCGAGAGGAACACCUGCGGCGAAGGCGGGUUGCUGGGCCGACACUGACGCUGAUGCGCGAAAGCCAGGGGAGCGAACAGG